rnacentral:rRNA from 1 species
UAGGGCUUCACACGUCAUACAAUGGUCGGUACAGAGGGUUGCCAACCCGCGAGGGGGAGCUAAUCCCACAAAGCCGAUCGUAGUCCGGAUCGCAGUCUGCAACUCGACUGCGUGAAGUCGGAAUCGCUAGUAAUCGUGGAUCAGCAUGUCACGGUGAAUACCGGUUCCCGGGUCUU